GUGGGUUUGGGGCACCGCCAAGUCCUUAGAGUUUUAAGCGUUUGUGCUCGUAGUUCUCGGGCGGAUGCAUGGGUACGUAGGCAUCUAGAUUUAGGGCCAG
rnacentral:rRNA from 1 species